UACGAAGGGGGCUAGCGUUGCUCGGAAUCACUGGGCGUAAAGGGUGCGUAGGCGGGUCUUUAAGUCAGGGGCGAAAUCCUGGAGCUCAACUCCAGAACUGCCUUUGAUACUGAGGAUCUUGAGUUCGGGAGAGGUGAGUGGAACUGCGAGUGUAGAGGUGAAAUUCGUAGAUAUUCGCAAGAACACCAGUGGUGAAGGCGGCUCACUGGCCCGGUGCUGACGCUGAGGCGCGAAGGCGUGGGGAGCGAUCCGG
rnacentral:rRNA from 1 species